rnacentral:rRNA from 1 species
AGUGAACGCUGGCGGUAGGCCUAGCACAUGCAAGUCGAACGGCAGCACAGUAAGAGCUUGCUCUUACGGGUGGCGAGUGGCGGACGGGUGAGGAAUACAUCGGAAUCUACUUUUUCGUGGGGGAUAACGUAGGGAAACUUACGCUAAUACCGCAUACGACCUACGGGUGAAAGCAGGGGAUCUUCGGACCUUGCGCGAUUGAAUGAGCCGAUGUCGGAUUAGCUAGUUGGCGGGGUAAAGGCCCACCAAGGCGACGAUCCGUAGCUGGUCUGAGAGGAUGAUCAGCCACACUGGAACUGAGACACGGUCCAGACUCCUACGGGAGGCAGCAGUGGGGAAUAUUGGACAAUGGGCGCAAGCCUGAUCCAGCCAUACUGCGUGGGUGAAGAAGGCCUUCGGGUUGUAAAGCCCUUUUGUUGGGAAAGAAAAGCAGCAGGUUAAUACCCCGCUGUUCUGACGGUACCCAAAGAAUAAGCACCGGCUAACUUCGUG